rnacentral:rRNA from 1 species
GCCGUAAACGAUGUCUACUAGCCGUUGGGGCCUUUGAGGCUUUAGUGGCGCAGCUAACGCGAUAAGUAGACCGCCUGGGGAGUACGGUCGCAAGACUAAAACUCAAAUGAAUUGACGGGGGCCCGCACAAGCGGUGGAGCAUGUGGUUUAAUUCGAUGCAACGCGAAGAACCUUACCUGGUCUUGACAUAGUAAGAACUUUCCAGAGAUGGAUUGGUGCCUUCGGGAACUUACAUACAGGUGCUGCAUGGNUGUCGUCAGCUCGUGUCGUNAGAUGUUGGGUUAAGUCCCGCAACGAGCGCAACCCUUUUCCUUAUUUGCCAGCACUUCGGGUGGGAACUUUAAGGAUACUGCCAGUGACAAACUGGAGGAAGGCGGGGACGACGUCAAGUCAUCAUGGCCCUUACGACCAGGGCUACACACGUGCUACAAUGGUCGGUACAAAGGGUUGCUACCUAGCGAUAGGAUGCUAAUCUCAAAAAGCCGAUCGUAGUCCGGAUUGGAGUCUGCAACUCGACUCCAUGAAGUCGGAAUCGNUAGUAAUCGCGGAUCAGAAUG